AAGUCGUAACAAGGUUUCCGUAGGUGAACCUGCGGAAGGAUCAUUAACACGUGAUACUCACGUAUUAACCACCCACCGUGAACUGUUAUUCUGUCCUACUGUUGAUUGUAAGCAGGCGAAACGAGGGAAUGCUAUGCGGCGCUCAUGUUACCACGCAAGUGGUGGACCUCUCAUACCCGCUAACUCGUCAGUCGUUCGUUGGUCCGCCCAUGAGCUUGCACCAGCAACUAGUUGAUUAAUUACGAGCGCUUAUUAAGCCUGUAGCAUAGCUUGCUGCUCGUAGUGACCUUAUUAACCCCUUUUUUACUAUUAUUCACUGAUUUUGUACGUUGAUAUGAAUUCCUGACUGCGAGGUCGGUUGAGUUUGUGUCGAUGUCGUAUAUUACUAAUACGAAACAACUCUUAGCAACGGAUAUCUUGGUUCUC
rnacentral:misc_RNA from 1 species